rnacentral:misc_RNA from 1 species
AAGUCGUAACAAGGUUUCCGUAGGUGAACCUGCGGAAGGAUCAUUAACACUUUUAUUCCAAAUAUCAACCAACCCGUGAACUUGUAACUCGUAGCCAGGCAGCGUUGGUGGCAAUGCCUUCACCAUGGCUCGUCUUGAGCUGUUUCGGCGGUUCGACGAUGAAGGUGUUGCGGAGAGAGAUCUCGCCUUUUCUGCCUGUGUUAUUUGAGCCCCUUAAUCUUUGAAACCCUAACGCUUGUAGGCCUGAGCCUUGCCCUCGUUAGGGGGGGACGCCAUUAUUAACCGUAUUAACCACUGACUUGCCUUUGUGCUGAAUAACAUUCCAUAUCAGAAAUGGUUGGAAUGGAGUUUUACUCUAACGAAGUACAACUCUUAGCAAUGGAUAUCUAGGUUCUC